GAACGCUGACAGAAUGCUUACACAUGCAAGUCAACUUGAAUUUGGGUUUUAACUUAGGUUUGGGUGGCGGACGGGUGAGUAACGCGUAAAGAACUUGCCUCACAGCUAGGGACAACAUUUGGAAACGAAUGCUAAUACCUAAUAUUAUGAUAAUAGGGCAUCCUAUAAUUAUGAAAGCUAUAAGCGCUGUGAGAGAGCUUUGCGUCCCAUUAGCUAGUUGGAGAGGUAACGGCUCACCAAGGCGAUGAUGGGUAGCCGGCCUGAGAGGGUGAUCGGCCACAAGGGGACUGAGACACGGCCCUUACUCCUACGGGAGGCAGCAGUGGGGAAUAUUGGACAAUGGACCAAGAGUCUGAUCCAGCAAUUCUGUGUGCACGAUGAAGUUUUUCGGAAUGUAAAGUGCUUUCAGUUGGGAAGAAAGAAAUGACGGUACCAACAGAAGAAGUGACGGCUAAAUACGUGCCAGCAGCCGCGGUAAUACGUAUGUCACGAGCGUUAUCCGGAUUUAUUGGGCGUAAAGCGCGUCUAGGUGGUUAUAUAAGUCUGAUGUGAAAAUGCAGGGCUCAACUCUGUAUUGCGUUGGAAACUGUAUAACUAGAGUACUGGAGAGGUAAGCGGAACUACAAGUGUAGAGGUGAAAUUCGUAGAUAUUUGUAGGAAUGCCGAUGGGGAAGCCAGCUUACUAGACAGAUACUGACGCUGAAGCGCGAAAGCGUGGGUAGCAAACAGGAUUAGAUACCCUGGUAGUCCACGCCGUAAACGAUGAUUACUAGGUGUUGGGGGUCGAACCUCAGCGCCCAAGCAAACGCGAU
rnacentral:rRNA from 1 species